rnacentral:misc_RNA from 1 species
AUGUGCCAACUCCUAAAAGAUCCAUGUAUCAACGAUUGAAUCCAGAAUUAACAAGGGAAAAACCCAAAUUGAGCUUUAUGUUGAUGUUAAAUAAAAAAGUGUGUAUUGCAUUUUCUCCCUGGACCAUGAAGAGAUUAUAAUAUACUCCUCUAGCCAGUCACCCUAACAAGGAAACAUUAAUACCAAAAAAAUCAUCCUAGCAGACACCAAUUAUCUGUGUAAGGCUAUCACAGACUCAAAAUGCAACAAAAUCCAUGAAGCACUACUAGCAACUUUCAUUAGGAUGCUUGAUCAAGUUUGCAGAGCAUAGAAUGCUAAUCAAUUAAGUGAAUAAACCAGG